CUCGACUGUAUGCCAUAUGCUGAUAGUGGGUACAGAACAAAAUCGCUUAAAAUAAUUAUUGUAAUCUGCUGCAACUAUAAUGCGGAAAGCAGCGGAAUGUGUCGUCGGCCGUAUAGGUAUAUAUAUGCAUAAUGCAGGCGCUGAUGCAGGAGAAGGGGGGGAGAUGGCUCGGGCUCGGGCCGCUAUGUGGAGGUGGACGGGAUACUAUUUUUUUUUCUGUAUCUGAUGCAACUUUUCACUCUCCUUCAGGGCCAGGGCACAGCAGGCACGUGCCCAAAGGCCAGGUCCCCGCACUCAUCUAAGAAUCUACGCGUAUAUACUCAUAUGGGGCCGUUCCCAGCAACCCAGGGACGAUGGAGAGGGGCCGAGGGUAUCGGACGAAAUGUCUGCUAAAAUCUGCUAAAAUGUCCACUUUCUGUGAUAAUCAAAACAAUAACUUGUACCUUUCGUUUGCAUUUCUGGAGAACUUAGAAUUUUCUUUAUUUACUUUCAGUAUUUAAGUUACGGAAGUCGAAAACGUAUAUUGUUUAUUAUAGAACUAAAUUUAAAGGCCUAGGAAAAAUAUGUGACCUCAUUCCUCACAUGCAAGCAAUAAGUUAAAUUUAGUGGAUGGAUGAAUAAAAAAAUAGUUAACCCUAAAAAUAAUAAAUGCUCUUUUAUUAUAAAUAAUAGAAAAUGACGUUGCACAGCUGAUCGGGGGACAAGAAGACCGAGGAGGAAUGUAGCACGCUGUAUCCAGAGGAUGUGCUGCUCCAGUGACGA